rnacentral:rRNA from 1 species
AAAAAGCGUAACAAGGUCUCCGUUGGUGAACCAGCGGAGGGAUCAUUACUGAGUUUACGCUCUACAACCCUUUGUGAACAUACCUAUAACUGUUGCUUCGGCGGGUAGGGUCUCCGUGACCCUCCCGGCCUCCCGCCCCCGGGCGGGUCGGCGCCCGCCGGAGGAUAACCAAACUCUGAUUUAACGACGUUUCUUUUGAGUGGUACAAGCAAAUAAUCAAAACUUUUAACAACGGAUCUCUUGGUUCUGGCAUCGAUGAAGAACGCAGCGAAAUGCGAUAAGUAAUGUGAAUUGCAGAAUUCAGUGAAUCAUCGAAUCUUUGAACGCACAUUGCGCCCGCCAGCAUUCUGGCGGGCAUGCCUGUUCGAGCGUCAUUUCAACCCUCAAGCUCUGCUUGGUGUUGGGGCCCUACGGCUGACGUAGGCCCUCAAAGGUAGUGGCGGACCCUCCCGGAGCCUCCUUUGCGUAGUAACUUUACGUCUCGCACUGGGAUCCGGAGGGACUCUUGCCGUAAAACCCCCAAUUUUCCAAAGGUGACCUCGGAUCAGGAGAAUCCCC